rnacentral:lncRNA from 1 species
AUGAAUCAGUUUAAUAAUUAUAUGUUGGAAAAUAAAAAAACAAAUGCUAUUAAUUUUGUAUUAGAUUUAACUAGAUAUCGAGGUAACAACCACAUAACAGAUAUUUUUGAAUUAUGUAUAAGUUAUAUGAACACAUAUAACCAAAAUUGUGAAGGUAUAUAUAGUUAUCAACCUGGAGAUAUAAUAAUAAAUAAUAAUACAACUAAUAUUCAUAAUAAUGGUAAUAUAAUGUUAAAUAAUAAAAAAUAUUCUGAAAAUUAUAUUAAAAGAAUUUUAUUUAAUAAUUAUUGUAAAUACAAAUAUGGAUCAAUGCAAUUACUUGAAUGUUUACAUUGUCGAAUGUGUGAUAAAAAAAGAAAUAUGAAUGUUGAACAAUUUUUAAAGUUAUAUAUUGAAAAAGAUUUACAAAGUCCUAAUUAUUUUAUUUGUUAUCAAGCUAUAGUAACUUAUUGUUGUUUUGUUAAAAAAAUAAAAGAAUUUGUUGAUAUUAAUAGUAUAUUACAAAAUUAUGAAAUUAUUUUAAAUCAUAUGAGUAGUGAUAGUUUACUAAUACGAGUAGCUAGUGCAUCGAAUAUAAAAAAAUUUUUUAAAAUACAGAAUGAUUUGUUACAAAAUUUAAUUAUAAAAACGAUACCUAUACUUAUUGAACGUUUAUUAAAUGUAAUUAAAGAAGUAAAAUGUGAAAAUGUAGUUAUGACUUUAGAUAAUCUAGCAUAUACAUUUAAAGAUUAUAUAUCACCUUAUGUAAAAGAUGUAACAAUAGCAAUGUGUACUAGUUUUGUUUAUUUAAUAAAUCAAAAAGAAGAAACAAAUGAAAUAACUGGAAAUGAAAAACAAAAUGAAUUAAAAAGUAGUUAUAACCAGAUGGGUGAACAAAAUAGUAUGUUAAACACAAAUAAUGCACAAGUUGAUACUAAUCUUUUAGAAGAUACAAAAAAAACAAAAGAAACUGAUGAUAUGGAUCUAAAUUCGCUCAUAAUUUCAAUUCUCAAUGCUAUAUCAAGCUUACUAGAUGCAGUAGACGAAAGUAAUAAAGCAAAUAUUUAUAAAUAUACACUUUCUUAUUUAUAUGUAGUUAUAGAUGAAACUUUUAAAUGUCCAUCUGUUGAUUAUUUAGAAGAAGCUUUAGCUCUUUUUACAAAUAUUACUUAUUAUUUAGAUAUAGAUGAACAAGUAUAUAUGCGAUUUGAAAAUUUAUUUAAUAUUUUUUAUUUUAAUAUGGAUAACGAAUUGAAAGAAAAAGAGUUAAGUAUAAUAAAAACAAAUCCUAAUUUAAUUUUAAGUACAGAAGUGAUAUUAACAGAUAAAAAUAAUGUAGACACUUAUUAUUAUGAUUACAUUUACGAUAUAUCCUUUUCCUUAGGUGUGUUUGAUAAUAUUUUAUCAAAAGAUGCUCUUAAUUUUAUUAAUAUUUAUAGUGAAAAAUAUGGUUUGAAAUAUAUUCAUAUGUUAUACAGAUUAGGUAUAUUUGCUUUACAUUCGAAAAUUGUCAAAUACAGUUCUAAAUUAUUUUUUAUUUUAUUUGAAGCUACCGUAAAUACAAAAGGGGUUAAUGAAUUAGUUGUACCAGUAUUAACAGCUUUUUCUGCAAAAUUAUUUAAACAUGAUGAAAUACAACUUUUAAUGAAUAAAAAAAAAAUUAAUUUACAAAAUAAUAACAAUGGACAAAAUCAAAAAUUGUUAUCUUCUAAUCAAACAAACACAAUUGGAGAGGAAGAUGAAUAUGAUGAUAAUAACAGUUCCUAUAGUUCAUACGAUGAUGAUUUAUUAAGUAAAGUUAGUCUUGAAUAUAUACAAAGAUUGUUUUAUUCUAUUUUAAUCUACGAUAUAGAUAUUUUUUUUAACUUUUUUAAUAAUAUCAAUAAAACAAAAGAAAUUUUAUUAUUUUUAACAAAUUUAGAAGAUAUAAAAAUGAAUCAUACUAGAAAAUUGUAUAUUCUUGCAAUGAGUUCAAUUAUACAAAAUAUGCAUAAAGAUAAUAUUAACAUACAUAUUAAUGAUUUAAAUACAUUUCUAUUAAGUAUUACAAAUGUAGCACAAUCUUAUCAUGAAAUUAAAAAUAACGCAGAUAAUGAAACAAAUAAAUCAACUGAUUCUUACUCCUCAUCAGAUGAAGAGAAUAGUGAAAUUGAUAUUGAUGAAGAUGAAGAUGCAACAAAUGAAAAUACAUUAAAAUUGUUAAAAACAAUUCAAACUUUAGGAAAAAAAAAUAAUUUAAAAGAUAAAACUUUAUUAAAUUAUACUGAAAAUAGUACUGAUAAUAAUUCUACUAAUGUAAACAAUUUAAAUGAUACAACAAUUAAUAAUAACAAUACUGAUACAAUUAUAAAUAAUACUAAUCUUUCAAACUUAAGUACUUUAUUAGAUAAAGAAAAUUUAAAAAAAUUAAAAAAAAAACAAGCAGCAUUAGAAGAAGAGGAAGAAGAAGAAGAAGAAGAUGAAGAUGAUGAAGAUUAUUAUAGUAAUUAUGAUGAUUAUUCAGAUUAUAGUGAUUCGGAUGAUGAAUGUAGACAAGGCUUCUUUGAUAAUAUAAACCCCUUAAAAAUUUUAUUUGACACUACUAAUAAUUUUUAUACAAAAUAUAAUAAAAUGUACAAUGAAGAAAUAGCUAAUAAAAUUAAGUACUUGGUAGACGUUGAAAAUACUGAGCCACAAAAUUGA